AGUGAACGCUGGCGGUAGGCCUAACACAUGCAAGUCGAACGGCAGCACAGUAAGAGCUUGCUCUUACGGGUGGCGAGUGGCGGACGGGUGAGGAAUACAUCGGAAUCUACUUUUUCGUGGGGGAUAACGUAGGGAAACUUACGCUAAUACCGCAUACGACCUACGGGUGAAAGCAGGGGAUCUUCGGACCUUGCGCGAUUGAAUGAGCCGAUGUCGGAUUAGCUAGUUGGCGGGGUAAAGGCCCACCAAGGCGACGAUCCGUAGCUGGUCUGAGAGGAUGGUCAGCCACACUGGAACUGGGACACGGUCCAGACUCCUACGGGAGGCAGCAGUGGCGAAUAUUGGACAAUGGGCGCAAGCCUGGUCCAGCCAUACCGCGUGGGUGAAGAAGGCCUUCGGGUUGUAAAGCCCUUUUGUUGGGAAAGAAAAGCAGCAGGUUAAUACCCCGCUGUUCUGACGGUACCCAAAGAAUAAGCACCGGCUAACUUCGUG
rnacentral:rRNA from 1 species